AAUGAGAUGCCUGAUUAAAGGAUUAUUUUGAUAGAAUAAAUUAAGUAAUAUAGUUUACUCUUAUUG
rnacentral:tRNA from 1 species